rnacentral:rRNA from 1 species
UACGUAGGGUGCAAGCGUUAUCCGGAUUCACUGGGUUUAAAGGGUGCGUAGGUGGGUCUGUAAGUCAGUGGUGAAAUCUCCGAGCUUAACUUGGAAACUGCCAUUGAUACUAUAGGUCUUGAAUACUGUGGAGGUCAGCGGAAUAUGUCAUGUAGCGGUGAAAUGCUUAGAUAUGUAAUAGAACACCGAUUGCGAAGGCAGUUCACUAUGCUUGUAUUGACACUGAGGCACGAAAGCGUGGGGAUCAAACAGG